rnacentral:rRNA from 1 species
AUUGAACGCUGGCGGCAGGCUUAACACAUGCAAGUCGAGCGAGUGGCGGACGGGUGAGAAGUGUCUGGGCAACUGCCUGAUGGAGGGGGAUAACUACUGGAAACGGUAGCUAAUACCGCAUACCAUCAGCUAAGCCCCGAUGGGAUUAGUUAGUAGGUGGGGUAAGGGCUCACCUAGGGGACGAGCCAUAGCUGGUCGGAGAGGAUGACCAGCAACACGGGAACUGAGACACGGUCCAGACUCCUACGGGAGGAAGCAGUGGGGAAUAUUGCGCAAUGGGCGAAAGCCUGAUGGAGCCAUGACGCGUGUGUGAAGAAGGCCUUCGGGUUGUAAAGCACUUUCAUCCGGGAGGCGUUACUCACAGAAGAAGCACCGGCUAACUCCGUGCCAGCAGCCGCGGUAAUAC